AGCGGCAGGCUUAACACAUGCAAGUCGAGGGGCAGGCACGGGUAGCAAUACCUGGUGGCGACCGGCGCAAGGGUGCGUAACGCGUGAGCAACAUGCCCUAUACAGGGGGAUAAUCCAGGGAAACUUGGUCUAAUAUCCCAUAGUAUUUAGAGGAGGCAUCUUCUAUAAAUUAAAGCUUCGGUGGUAUAGGAUUGGCUCGCGUGACAUUAGCUAGAUGGUGAGGUAACGGCUCACCAUGGCAAUGAUGUCUAGGGGUUCUGAGAGGAAGGCCCCCCACACUGGGACUGAGACACGGCCCAGACUCCUACGGGAGGCAGCAGUGAGGAAUAUUGGACAAUGGAUGGAAAUCUGAUCCAGCCAUGCCGCGUGCAGGAAGACAGCCCUAUGGGUUGUAAACUGCUUUUAUAUGGGAGCAAUAAGGUCUACGUGUAGACUGAUGAGAGUACCAUAUGAAUAAGCAUCGGCUAACUCCGUG
rnacentral:rRNA from 1 species